UACGUAGGCAGCGAGCGUUGUUCGGAGUUACUGGGCGUAAAGAGUGCGUAGGCGGUUUUCUAAGUUUGGUGUGAAAUCUCCCGGCUUAACUCGGGAGGGUGCGCCGAAAACUGGAAGGCUUGAGUAUGGGAGAGGUAAGCGGAAGUUCCUGGUGUAGCGGUGAAAUGCGUAGAUAUCAGGAGGAACACCUGCGGUGUAGACGGCUUACUGGACCAUAACUGACGCUGAGGCACGAAAGCGUGGGGUAGCAAACAGG
rnacentral:rRNA from 1 species